AAUUAUACCAUCCGUUUAAAUGGGUCAACAGAUAACGUUCGACCUUUACGAUAAUAUUAAAACUGACCAUUAGAUUCAAAAUUUAGAGUGGUGUAGGAUCUUGCACGUCCGAAAUUAUUGAACAUUUUUCGAGAGAAUGAAGAUACUCCUGACGCUCUGCCUAAUAUCGUCGAUCCACGCGAUAAAUCAAGUGGACACCUUUCUAAGGCGGCCCACUUGCGUUUGCACCGGAAAAAUUACGGCGAUUAUGCACGACAUCAACGGGGCGUAUUGUAUGUAUUACGGCACCGGCGUCUACAGGAAGUGGGAGUGCGAAAAUACGGAGGACUGGGAUCAAUUUUUGAGGAGCACGCCGAGACGCGUCGCCGAACCGACCUGCCAGUGUACCAGCACUGCGACCGGAAUUAUGCAAGACGAAACUGGAACUUAUUGCGUAUAUAAUGGGGUGGAUAAAAGGACGCGCUGGGAAUGCGAGAAUACGGAGGAAUGGGAUUUAUAUAAGAGAAACCGAUAUUAGUGUUCGCAUCGGGACACUCUUCGUUAUUUAUUUCCAAUUUGUUCUAGAUUUAAGCCUAGUCUAGCUUUAAUUGAGGAAGAAAUGAGCUUUCGUUGGCUUAUGUUGCGUGGCGUUUAUUUCAAAUUGUAGCAUUCAUUUAAAUUAACGACACAGUACCUUAUCAUAGUAAAAUUAAAUUAACUUAAAAGACCGUGCAACUUGUUCUCCACCUAGCAGAAGCUCCAUUUGAGAUCCAUUGAAAAUGUAGUUAGCACGCCCACCCCAUGCCCCGUGGGAAUAUCAGAAAAAAGGCUGUAAUACUUCAAUUUUGCGUAUAAAACUGCUCGGUGGACGAUGGUGUAGCUAGACCAAUCCGAAGAGAACAUCAUUUUACCCUUAAACCUUUUUUGUGUAGAAACCCAUUAACUUCACGUAUCAGGAUCAUAUUUAAACGUUGGCAAAGUAGACUUUUAGGGUUGAUUUUAUCCCGUAAACAACAAUACAAAUAAUGCAUACUUCUGGGUUGAAUUUUUAAAUGAUUUGCGGAUUUAUUUCUAUUGGAAGUCGAUAGAACCCUCUACUUGAUUUGGACAAAUUUAGCGAGGUUAAUCGUUAUAUUUAAAUUUAAAUGAUUUAAUUAAGGGUGGAUUUCAUCCGGAGAAUCACAUUGCAAGCCGUUUCAAAGCAUUCUUUUUAUUUACUCUCUUGUAGUCCUUUAAGAGUUGACUCCCUCAGUCGAUUAAAUCCUUGCUCUUUGUGCAUUCGCGAUUUCCUAUGUGUUUUAUGUGCCUAUGGGGUAAAAUCGCUCGGGAAAAUUUGACCUGGUAAAUUUACCUUCGAAAAUUCGCUCAAAGAAAAUCGAUAGAUGUAAAUUUGGCCCGGAAAUUCUCCACCGGAAAAACUGUACCGGGAGAAAAUUAUACUCUGAAGAUUCUCUUUCGAAAGAGAGAGCGUGGAAGAUUCGCCCUGUGAAAAUUCACCCACAGAAGAUUCGCUCCCGAUGUAAGUAGCCCAGAAAUAUUCGCAUAGGACUCGCUCCCUUAAGAUUCGGCCCUAGAAGAAUCGCCUUGACAUAUUCGCUUUGAUAAAUCCACUCCCGGAAUAUUCGCCUCCAGGCGACCAGUUCCUAGCACG